rnacentral:rRNA from 1 species
UACGGAGGAUCCAAGCGUUAUCCGGAAUCAUUGGGUUUAAAGGGUCCGUAGGCGGUUUAAUAAGUCAGUGGUGAAAGCCCAUCGCUCAACGAUGGAACGGCCAUUGAUACUGUUAGACUUGAAUUAUUGUGAAGUAACUAGAAUAUGUAGUGUAGCGGUGAAAUGCUUAGAUAUUACAUGGAAUACCAAUUGCGAAGGCAGGUUACUAACAAUAUAUUGACGCUGAUGGACGAAAGCGUGGGGAGCGAACGGGAUUAGAUACCCUGGUAGUCCACGCCGUAAACGAUGGAUACUAGCUGUUGGGGGUAACUUCAGUGGCUAAGCGAAAGUGAUAAGUAUCCCACCUGGGGAGUCCGUUCGCAAGAAUGAA